rnacentral:lncRNA from 1 species
GGGCAACAGAGUGAGACCCUGUCAAGAAAGAAAGAGAGAGAAAGGGAAGGGAGGGGGAGGGGGAGCGAGAGAAAGCAAGAGUGAGAGUGAGAGUGAGAGCGAGAGCGAGAGCGAGUGACAGCGAGAGCGACAGAGAGAGAGAGAGAAGCAAGCAAAUGGUUGGUAACCAACGGGAGAAGAUGAGAGAACAUGACGAAAAACAUCCCUGGUAAAGUUUAGCAGUCCACAGUUUGGAGAGUAAGAAGAACAACCCCCAUAUCAGCUGAUUUAAACAGCUUCCUGUCAAAGGUCAAACUCGACUGGCACAUUUCCUCAGCUUCACCACUUAACUGUCAGCAAGAAAAUAAAAACAAGCCACUGAUCGUGGUGAGAAGCAAGUCCUUUACAUCCAAAGACAAAAUGGUGCAGCCAUGAGCAAUGGGGCUAGAUGCCAAGUUAUCAAAUCAUCAAGAUAGGCAAAUCAUCAAAGAGACUGAAAAAGACAUGAACUCAAAGCCAAGGUAAUAGCAACAUCAAAAUGCAGAUCUUCCAUCAUUUCCAUAGGUGCCACGUAGCUAAGCGCAUUGAAUGGAUACUGAUUGCUAAGAAAGAAAAAAAAACCCUAAAUUGGGAGUUGGCAUUAUCUUGAUAUAUUAUGAAAGGAAAAUAAAAAUUCAUGACCCCAAUCCACUAUGCCAAAGGGAAAAAUCAAGCUGAAAGCUGAGUCAUCCAAGAAACUGCCUUUCCUUUUAUUCCUAAGCACAGUUAUAUAUGAAAGGUUAAAGAUCUCCACAGGUAGACACUCUAUGUCCACCUUUUUCUUUUCUUGCUCUGUCACUGCAGCCUUGACCUCCCAGGCCCAAGCGAUCCUGCCGCCUCAGCCUCCCAAGAAGUUGGGACUACAGGCGUGCGUCACCUCACCCAGCUAUUUUUUUUUUUUUUUUGAUAGAGAUGAGGUCUCACUGUGUUGCUGCCCAGGCUGGUCUCAAACUCCUGGGCUCCAGUAAUCCUCCUGCCUCAGCCACCCAAAGUGCUGGGAUCACAGUCAUGAGCACCCAGCUCAACAUACAUCUUAUCUUAUGAAAAGUGUUGAUUUACUGAGCACAAGAUGAAUGUGUAAUGGACUAUUCCCCUACCUGCUCCUUUUCUCUCUUGCAACAUAUGGAUUACCGUACCCUCCCUCUUUUCCAUUCAGCCACUUUUCCUUUAAAUACUCAAGUCCUCAAAGUCAUCUUUGGAGAAAGGCACAGACCACAGAUUUUUUCUGUGAUUCUGUGUUUAUUUGUUCUGGGUAUGUCUUUAACCUUGGCAAAAUAAACUCCUAAAUUGAUUGGGACCUGUAUCAGAUACUUUCUGGUUUACUAUAUAUAUAUAUGUA